CAGCCGCCACGGUAAUACGUAGGGUGCGAGCGUUAAUCGGAAUUACUGGGCGUAAAGCGUGCGCAGGCGGUUCGUUAAGACAGAUGUGAAAUCCCCGGGCUUAACCUGGGAACUGCAUUUGUGACUGACGGGCUAGAGUAUGGCAGAGGGGGGUAGAAUUCCACGUGUAGCAGUGAAAUGCGUAGAGAUGUGGAGGAAUACCGAUGGCGAAGGCAGCCCCCUGGGCCAAUACUGACGCUCAUGCACGAAAGCGUGGGGAGCAAACAGGAUUAGAUACCCCCGUAGUCACUGUCUCUUAUAC
rnacentral:rRNA from 1 species